UGACUUCUCCUUCCCUUGACGGUCGAGAGAGAGAGAGAGGGAGAAUUAUUCAGCCUACUGGUGUGCCUUCGAGUUCGUGUUUGGGGUUUUCAUUGUUACAGUCAUCCCAUGGCGCCUUCAGCUCCGUCAAGCUCAACCCCUGAAUUUCAAAUGUCUAAAAAGCCACUUGGUUUCUAUGCUAACGUACUAAAACACAAGGAUGGCCUCAUUCAGUUGUUGGCCAUGACUGGUAUUUUGCUUUUAAGCUGUCGAUCUUUGGGUCAGAAGUACCGUAUCAACAACCUUCAAGAAGACACUACGGCUCUCAAACAAGAACACGAAACCUUAGUCGACCGUAUGAAGAACAUCAAGCGCAGCCUCCUUCAUGAGGCAUCCCUCGAAUCCACUGGCCUCUUUGCAUCCAGGCUUCGCCUUCUCUUCAGCGAUGAAGAUUGAUUGCUUUAAGUCUUCAAUCUUUUGUAAAAUUCCAGAAUGCUUGGUGAAACUUUUUGUUUACUUGUUCUAAUGCAAUAAAGAGGAUAAAUUAAUCUAUUGUUUGAAGAUCUGCUGCCAUUUGAAGAGCUAGACUGUGGGCUCAUAUCUUCAAAGACAUUUCUUAUAAAACCGAUUGUGCCCUGCCCACCAACUAGCCCAAGGAAAACGCCCAAGGGCACACUUUCACAUUCAAGUGAUGGAUAGUUCGUAGAAAAUUUUAUAGGGUAGAAUAGUAGAUGUGCUGAUUCUUCAAAAAGUUUCCAUUAGUUAGAGUGAAGUUUGUUUUGUGCCCACAUGUUCUACUGAUGCAUGCAUCAUUAUCCUUGCCUUGGGAAGAAAAACUCACUCUAGGUAUGGGACUUUAAUGUGGACCACGAUGUGCCAAGGUUAUGCUAUUUGUUUUGGGAACAACCUGUUUAACUCUACAACAUUUGGGUGUCAAGAAAAUUAAAAAAUCACUAGCUCUUUAUCAAAGUCGAACAACAACAUUUGGGUGUCAAGAAAACUAAAAAAUCACUAGCUCUUUAUCAAAGUCGAGAUGGUUAAAUUUAUGCUAUUUGACGUAGUUCAUUUGAGCUAAUUCUCUCUAGAGUUGUAUUGCCCCUUUCUUCACGUCACUCAUGAGUCACUACCAAGUACAAGAACAAUCACAAUCUAAGCUUUUUUCUGUUUGGACCCAGCUACUUUGGAGAAUCAUGUAUGAACUGAUUGGGUGUACCUUCAAACUUAUUUGCCAUACAGCUGAUUGAAUUUUGAGCACUACUAUGUGUAGUUCAGUUCCACUGCAUUCAUCCCUACACUCAAUAAAGCUAUUCAACGAUCUAUUGAGCUCAUCUUCCCUCUUGCUUAACCUUCUUUCUCAUUACUUAUUUUCUAAAAUUCAUCAACAGCAUUGAUCAUAUUUCAUAGGAUUUGUGGUAUUCUACUCUUAACAGUUGCUUACAUUUUUUAUGAUUAGCUUGCCUGGUCAAGUGUGUUGCCAUUCAAAAUUGUAAGCCAAUGGUGAAUUUUUUUCAAUUAUUUGUCUAUUCCAUUAUUUGUAUUGCGAAGAGGGGGACCCUAUUAGAGGAUCGAAACCUUGAUUUGGAAUGAUUUGUAGCCAUAUUGAGCAUUUGAUUUGAGUUCAAAUAUAAUGGCGCGUUAACUCGA